AGUAUGAUACUUACAGUUUGCUGGGGUAGAUGGGGGUGCUCUUCACUGGAAUGAAGAUGAUGAGUUUCACUUUGGACCAGGAGAUAUCCACAUGUUCACAUUUCUUCUUCUACUAGAAGCAUUUGUAUAAGCCUUUGUUUAGUACCAGUCACUCUUUUACUUUCCAAUUGUUCUAAGGCUGAUGUAGAUGUCAUAGUUGAUCUUCGGCAUAAAACAACAAGAAGCACUGGAAAUCCAUGGAUCAUUCACAUGGCUUGGACAAACACAGUAUAAACUUCAACUUAA
rnacentral:lncRNA from 1 species